UACAGAGGUCCCAAGCGUUGUUCGGAUUCAUUGGGCGUAAAGGGUGUGUAGGUGGCGCCGUAAGUCGGGUGUGAAAUUUCGGAGCUUAACUCCGAAACUGCAUUCGAUACUGCGGUGCUUGAGGACUGGAGAGGAGACUGGAAUUCCCGGUGUAGCGGUGAAAUGCGCAGAUAUCGGGAGGAACACCGGUGGCGAAGGCGGUUCUCUGGGCCUGUGCUGACGCUGAGGAGCGAAAGCGUGGGGAGCGAACAGG
rnacentral:rRNA from 1 species